CGCCGUAUGGCCGCCCACACUGCAAGGAUGCCAGAGAGAGAGGCCGUAUCGGCACGUUCGGGCCGUGAAGGACUGGGAUGUUCGGGUUGCUUACAGGCAUCGGUAGAUAAUGGUGAACAGGAGCAUUGGGAAGUUGGCGAACGUUCGGGAGCAUGCAAACGUUUGGGCCAUGAACAGCCACGUUCGGGAACGAGGAGCCGUUCGGGUCGAAAACAGGUGAUGGCUGGAAGUGGUGAACGGUCGGGCUGCAAACAGGCGAAUGAAACUGGC